GUCCAAUCAGCACUGAAACUGUAUCACAAGGAAACUUCUGGCUGUUUCCAGUAAGGUUCCCCAGGCUGGGCCUCCCCAUGCUCACAGGGCAAACAGGCAGAUUUUAUUAUUAGCUGUUUUAAACACAUGGAAACCUAAAGAUUAACUGGCUCCCCUAAAAAUGUUCUGUUUAGUUUCUGAUCAGUUCUUCAAGUUGGAAAAAACAUCCCUGCUUACUUUCACAUGUUUUCUGUGAACUGCUUUAACAGAUUUGUCUCUGUUUUCUCAUUUUCAGGUUGUCACACAGCAGCCUGCAUGUGGCAGCAGGGCUGUGAACAGCAGCAGCAACAUCACAGGAGUUCAUGAUGCAGCACCAGGAAGUUGGCCCUGGUUCGCUGUUAUAAACCUUUUUGUUGGAGGGUCUGUGUCCCCCAUUGAUGGUUUGGGAGGGUCUCUGAUCAACGAGCAGUGGGUGCUGACAGAUGCAUAUUUACCAAGGUGAGUUACUGCUGCACGUUCACACUUUGUUGAGGAAUAAUAUGAUGGUGAAAGUGAAGUGUAAUAUUUAUGAGCAGUAAAUAAUUACUAGAGAUAUUUUUAAAUAUUUUCUCACUUCUUUUAACAUUUAAAAACGGGCGAUCGUGGCUCAAGAGUUGGGAGUUCAUCUUGUAAUCGGAAGGUUGCCAGUUCAAGCCCCAGCUUGGACAGUCACAGUCGUUGUGUCCUUGGGCAAAACACUUCCCCUACUGGUGGUGGUCAGAGGGCCCGGUGGCGCCAGCAGCCCCGCCUCUGUCAGUGCGCCCCAGGCCUGUAAAAAUACAGGCCAUUUAAAACCAACAAGCUGCUGUCUCCACAACAAUCAAACCUGAUGCCACAUUACUUUCAUUUCAUCCAAGACUAUAAAGUCCUUCCAUGGAUUUCAUGGUGUUGUAGAAGAGUUCAUUGGUCAUAGUUAUGCUGUCAAAUGAAAACAUUGACCUCAUUCGUUGAUGUCAUAAGAUGGUUAGCAUGAAAACUUUAAAUGGCAAAGCUGCUGCUGUUAAAUACAACUACGCACCUCUGUGAGGUCAUUAAUGAACACUGAACUAAGAUCAGGUGCAGCAAUGCAAAGUGGGGAAAAGACUCAGUGAGAAAAAGUCAUUUGUUGUGUUUUCUGUGUGUGCAGCUGUGAUCAGCUGACCUCACGUCACUGCUCGGUUCAACAACAUGUAAACAGAUGUUACUUGAGCUCUGUGGCUGAUAUCCCUGCACACUGUAAAGCUUUCUGCUAACCUUGAUGCACUCUGACCACGCUCUGCACCAGUGCAACAUAGAGCACCUCUGUAACCUUCACCACAGUGUUGUUAACUAACCAGUUUAACCUGCA
rnacentral:lncRNA from 1 species